rnacentral:lncRNA from 1 species
CUAAUUCAAUUUCCACAAUUUAUGGCAAUUUUUCAAAGUUAACCUACUGUUGUUGUCCAAACAGCAAGCAAUUUUGGCUUUUCGCCGAAUCCUUUUUUUUGCAUUUCGGGUACACACCUGGUUUUGUUUGAUGCUAAAACAAUCCCCGAACACUCUAAAGUCACCAAUGAUAACCAUCCAUUUAAAUAUUGUUAACACGAGAACACUGAAUUCACUAGUCCGAGUCUCCCCCUACGCCCAAAUCGCAGAGAAAAUACGUUACCACUUUAGUCGCUAAAAGAUUCAUGAUAGAAAAGAAGAGAAACACUUACCGAACUAAGCGAGCACUAACCGUGUGUGAAAAUGAAGGAAAAUAAAUGGAUUAGGGAAAAAUCAAGAACAAGAAAAAGAAGAAAAAGAAAAACUCAGAGAAUUUCAACAAGAGGAGAGGGAGAAGAAUAGACGGCGAAUAAAAUUCUGAUAACCCCCAAAAUCCCUUAAUCUUCUCCCCUAAUUCCCACUACACAUCCACUAUUCAUAACCCCCUAUUACAUAACUCUAUCCGAAAUCUGAUAAAAAAAAACAUAAUACCCUUGCCUGCAUAGGGGUUCAAACACAAAACCUCUACUAUAAUAACACAUCAUUUAACCACCAGACCAGCAGGCCCAUUCUGAUGUAAUUUACCCAAAAAUCAAAUAAAAGCCUACUCAACAAGAGUAAAGCCUAAUUCAUUCAAAAUACCAAAAUUUGCCCAAGCAAAAGCUUGAACUUGGGACCUCCCAAACACUCCCAGAACACAUAACUACUAAAGCUGACAAAUAUUUGUGUCAUAUUUUCACAAUAAUGAAAUUAGAAAUUUUGGGACAUUACAUUAUUACUUGAUUCAACUCUUGCACAAAUCGCAUAUCAUUUCACACACAACAGUGCUCAAUUGAACCCUUUAAGAUAUGAAAUCUAACAAACUCAAUUAAUGGCUUUAAUCAAUCCACCAAGAAAUAAUCAUUGGCAAAUUGAAGGAUGAAGAAUGAAUUCCCAUGACUCCUUAAAAAAAUUGAUAAGAAAACUACUUUUAAAAAUCACAAGAAACAAAUCUUGCAUAAAGAAACUAACUCUCAGAGUUGGUAAUUUUAGUAAUAAACAAAAACAAUUGCGUCUCUAAUGAACAUGAAGGGGCCUUUACAUAGGCUAGAUAAGUACAUCCAAAUAAAAUUGUCAAAUAUCUUGAAACUUUAAUUAAUGUAAGCAAGAAGUAAUUUUAAACUAAAAUAGUCAUAAUUUUCGUAAUAAUCCCGUCUAAAAAUUCUGCUCACAUAGUCAUCAUUAAAACAAUCAUAAUUUGAGCUCUUGAACUCAAAAUUGAGUGAAUAAAAGUGCGUUUCGAAGUUAAGUGAUAGAUCCUAGAACUCUAUGAAGACAUAUCAAUCAAAAAAAUAUCUGGAUCCCAUCCAAAAAGUCACCGCAAGUUAACUAAUUUUUCAAACUUAAAAUUUGGCAGCUUCGGUGAAUGGAAUUUAAUAAAGUUCACUCCAUCCAUUCAUGUAUCAACUUGCAUUGGUAACAAGUAAAAGAAAAAAAUCUAUAGAGAAAAUAGUUGAAGAAUUUAUGACAAUUUAUUCAAAUCUCUUUUUCUUCUAGUCUUUGCAAGCUUGAAGUUUCCCUUGGUGUGAGAGAGUUGUUCCUUACCCUCUAAGUGAUUUUUUUCUUUUUCUUUCUCUUCGAUCUCGUCACCUAUUGGUGUUCAAACAAUUGAUUCAGUUAAUACCCGAACAAAACUAUCAUUAACUGAAAUUUUGAAACCCUUAAUCGUUAAUCAAACCAAUUUUUUUAAAAAAAACCUAUUAACUAGCUGGAUUGAUUUCGAUUAAUUUUAGCGGUUAACCAGAAUUUAUACAUGGUUUUUUUUUGUUCAAAAAAUUUUAAAACAAAGAACAAUCCAUGACAAUUUUUUCCUUGUUUUUUAUUGAAAAAAUUAAAAGAACUAAAAAAAUAACAUAAUAACAACAAUAAAUUAAAAACAUAAUAGCAUUCAUUACAUUACAAGGCAUAUAUAUAUAUUUUUACUUUUUCUUCACUUUUUAGUUUAAUUUUAUAUUUUUUAAAAUAUUUUUAGUUUUCAUAUUUUUGUUAAGCUUAUUAUAAGAAAACUUAUAAAUCCAUUAAUUUUUCUAUAUUGGUUUUGUAUAAUGUAUUGGACUUAUCUCUAAUAUAUUUGGCCUAUAAUAUAUUUUUAUUGAUUUCGGUUAAUCAAUUAAUUCGGUUAAUUAGUCGAUUUCAAACUAAACUAAUUGGUAAACAAAAUCUUCAAAAACCUUUAACCAACUCCCAACCAAAUUAGAUUUGAUUGCUUAAUCAAAUUAAUUAGGUUUGAUAAAUUAAUUCGUUAAAACCAAAAAAUCCACACCCCUAUCAUCACCUUUAUUUUUAGGGAUUUUAAUCAUGUUGCUGCACCUGAUGCAGAAGUUGAGGUGGAACGAACUGCUUGCUACCACAAUUUAUGAAUUAUAGAGCAUGCUCCACCGUAGUGAAUCAAAUUCGGUGGAGUAGAAGACUUUUCUUCACUACUUUAUGCUCUAUGCUCCAAGUCUUCUAUUCUUCUUCUGAGACCUACAAUGGGAAAAUAAAAACUAAGAAACAAGUCUAAACUAACUUUGAAAAUUAGAAAUUUUCAACAAAAUUGAAAUAAAAUAUAAUUAAUCCAUAAAAAACUAUAAAAUGCAAUAAAAACAAACCUAAAUACUAAAAUUACCUCCUAAAAUGCUGUGGAAACUAUACUAAAAUAACUCUAAAUAUGAUAGUUAUCAGAAGCGACUUGAAUAAGCCAAUCGAGUAGAUGAUUUCAACUAUUGCAAAUAGCAUCAGUCGAUUAACCAUCCUCUUGAGAAGAUCAUAGAGUUGAAAGAAAAAAUCAUACAACUCCAUGAAGAAGAAAAAAUCAUGUUUGAAAAAGAAGUGGCAUUAUCAAACUUGACAUCAAUGCUUUGGUUUCUCAAUACAAUAUUAAGGAGAAAUUCAUCAAAUUUGGCUCUUUCACUCCUAUUACACUAGCUCUAAGUAGAAGUAAGAUGGUGAAUUUCGAAGGGAUUGGGGACAAUCAUCUAUUUUUGGAAUAUCAGAAUGGUCAUGAUUGGACUCAAAGAAGCCAAUGAAAUGCAUCUCUCCUAGGUAUAAGCUUAUAUUGUCACAUUGCUCCUAAGCACGAGCAUAAAUUGUUCAUCCAAAAUGAUGAUGCUCCUAAGCAUGAGCUUAAACUGUUCAUCUAAUGCUCCUAAGAAGGAGCCUAAACUAUUCAUAAAAAAUAAAUGAUGAUCCAGUGAAGCACGAGAUUAAACUAUUCAUACGAAAUAAAUGAUUACCUCCUAAGCAUGAAUUUAAAUUGUUCAUACAUAAUAAAUGAUGAUACUCCUAAGCAUGAGCUUAAAUAGCAGUCCAAAAAAAAUUGAACAACAUUAUAACUUUAUCUUUUAAAAAUGAAGGUACGUAGAUAGCCUGGUUUCAUUGCCAAGUUCAGUCAGUGAAACAAAUUCUUGAAAGUAGGAAGCAAAUAAAAUUUCAAGACUUGUACCCUUUCUACGCCCAACAAAAUUCAGAAUUCAGCAUUUGUUAUUACUGUUUAUCUCUAACUAAAUUAAUGAAAAGAUAAAUCAAGAAAUUAAAUCCUUUUAGAACUGUCUUAUAAAGAAACCAUAUUCUUUAAGGAUUACUUUAUCUAUAAUUAAUUAAAUUAAUAAGAUAUGAAUAAUAAUAAUAGAGUUUAAAUUCUUAUAGAACACUCAAAUGAAAAAGCUAAAUUCUACAACAACUCUCUUAUAUCAAAGUGAUUGGGCACUAUAAAAAUGGGUCACCUCCAAGUCAUUCUACACAUUCACAAGUUCAAGAAGUUCAAAAAUUCUUUACGAAAAUAUGAAGAAACUAAAGAAGUAGAAGAAAUUCUGAUGAACAUCAUAUCAGUUCUAAAGAAAAACUGCCUCCUAUCCAAUUCAAUUGAGAGGAGGAUGUCAACAGAAGAGAAGAAUCGAAGAAGUUUUGUUUGUAAAUAAAUUCAAAACUAUACACUCUUCGAAAUAAUAAAUAAAAUUUGACGCAAAAUUUUCAAGUCAAUUCUCAACUUAAAAUUUGCGUGUACAAUAUAUAUAGGAAAGAAUCCAUUUACAUUAUAUAAAACUAGUGUAUGUAUAAUACAGAAAUAUUUAGUACAUUAUCAAUAAAGUUUUUAAACUAUGCACUGUGAUUAAAACCAAAAUAAUAAUAAUAAUAACAACCAAUCACUUUAUUUGACUA